GUUUCGGACACAGGCGUUAGUGCCCACGUUUAUCUUAGGAGGACUCCUGGCGGGAUUCGUAUCCUUCCAGCCUAGCCUGGCACUGCGGUGAUGGGACUCUUUGCCAGCUCCAUGCACCCCUGACCGUACGUUUCAGUUUGCCCUCCUCGAAGGCAUCCGAGUCCGUUCCUGGGAAGGGAGCGUAUUCAUUUUCAAUCAAAUCAGUAGGCAAAAUAAUUUCUCCCCAUCCCCCGCCUUUGUGUCUCUGCCCCUGCUUGCUGGCAGCACCGAGCAGGUGGUGUGUCUUUUUAACAGCAGCUCAGAUUCGAACGGGGAAAGCGUGCAAGAGAAAGGCAGAAUCUGCCAGCGAGGAGCAGCCAGGGCCGUGCACCGCUGGUUCUCCCUGUGAGUGCACCACACGGUCGUUCUCGAGGCUGGGGCAACCAACGGCAGCUGCCGGGCAAUGCUCCCUGGCAGCGACUGAAGUGGGUGCACAAAGAGGACUGAGUAACGGGGAGUGCUACGGGUGAGGGUAAGGGGGAAAUCCGAGGGGGAGGAAAAAAAACAAAACAAAACAAACAACAAAACCUAUUAAAAAAAAAAAAAAAAGAGAGAGAGAGAGAGAGAGGAGGCUUCUUGCUCGGGGAGAAAAGAGCCGUUUGUUCCCCCUGCCUGCGGGCCUCUCCCCGUCCCGGGCUCUGCGAGAAGCCAGGACCCCGAGACAGCCGUCGCCGAGGGCACAGCACGGCCCCGGCUCACUGAGGCCCGAUCCGGCCCCACCGCAGCGCUCGGAAUCCCCCGCUGCAGUCAGGAGCUGCCUCUCCCUACUCCGCCGGGAAAGCUUGCCCCCACAGGGCUUCCAGCCGACAGAGAAACAAAGCAACAGCCUAUCCUAACUCUUCUCUGUUGGGAGAGAGUCAGGAGCAGGGUGGCAAGAAACAGGGGGACCUACCAGGGCUUCCUGUUUGUGAUUAGAAAGAAGAGUAGGGUAGUGGAGAAGUGGAAGAUGGAUGUGAAGUACUACAUGCCUUUGGGUCUGGUGGAGAUGUCAAGGCUUUGUGGGUAUUUUCCUACACUUGUUAGAGUUUCUUUGCAUAGUCUGUGUUCAAACCUUGUACUUCAAAUCAUGCAGUAUAUUUAUUAAAGUUGAGAGGUUUUUGCAACUGUCAUUUUCUCUAGAGACACUGCUUGGACCCCUUGAGAUUCAGUGUCUUUUCUCACUUUGCUCAGUGACACUUUUGCCCCCA
rnacentral:lncRNA from 1 species